GAUGAACGCUGGCGGCGUGCCUAAUACAUGCCAGUCGAGCGAACAGACGAGGAGCUUGCUCCUCUGACGUUAGCGGCGGACGGGUGAGUAACACGUGGAUAACCUACCUAUAAGACUGGGAUAACUUCGGGAAACCGGAGCUAAUACCGGAUAAUAUAUUGAACCGCAUGGUUCAAUAGUGAAAGACGGUUUUGCUGUCACUUAUAGAUGGAUCCGCGCCGCAUUAGCUAGUUGGUAAGGUAACGGCUUACCAAGGCAACGAUGCGUAGCCGACCUGAGAGGGUGAUCGGCCACACUGGAACUGAGACACGGUCCAGACUCCUACGGGAGGCAGCAGUAGGGAAUCUUCCGCAAUGGGCGAAAGCCUGACGGAGCAACGCCGCGUGAGUGAUGAAGGUCUUCGGAUCGUAAAACUCUGUUAUUAGGGAAGAAGAAAUGUGUAAGUAACUAUGCACGUCUUGACGGUACCUAAUCAGAAAGCCACGGCUAACUACGUG
rnacentral:rRNA from 1 species